ACGAACGCUGGCGGCGUGCUUAACACAUGCAAGUCGAACGAUGANCCACUUCGGUGGGGAUUAGUGGCGAACGGGUGAGUAACACGUGGGCAAUCUGCCCUUCACUCUGGGACAAGCCCUGGAAACGGGGUCUAAUACCGGAUACCACCUUCACUGGCAUCUGUGAAGGUUGAAAGCUCCGGCGGUGAAGGAUGAGCCCGCGGCCUAUCAGCUUGUUGGUGAGGUAAUGGCUCACCAAGGCGACGACGGGUAGCCGGCCUGAGAGGGCGACCGGCCACACUGGGACUGAGACACGGCCCAGACUCCUACGGGAGGCAGCAGUGGGGAAUAUUGCACAAUGGGCGAAAGCCUGAUGCAGCGACGCCGCGUGAGGGAUGACGGCCUUCGGGUUGUAAACCUCUUUCAGCAGGGAAGAAGCGAAAGUGACGGUACCUGCAGAAGAAGCGCCGGCUAACUACGUGCCAGCAGCCGCGGUAAUACGUAGGGCGCAAGCGUUGUCCGGAAUUAUUGGGCGUAAAGAGCUCGUAGGCGGCUUGUCACGUCGGGUGUGAAAGCCCGGGGCUUAACCCCGGGUCUGCAUUCGAUACGGGCUAGCUAGAGUGUGGUAGGGGAGAUCGSAAUUCCUGGUGUAGCGGU
rnacentral:rRNA from 1 species